GGAAGUAAAAGUCGUAUCAAGGUUUCCGUAGGUGAACCUGCGGAAGGAUCAUUGCCACACACCGAUCCAAGAUCGACACUUUUUUGUGAACUGUAAACCUUUUUAUUGAAUUGACGGAACCUUCUUCGGAAGGGGAAAGCUUUUUAGUAAAACUUAUUAACACUUAAAACAAACACUGAAUUAUACAUUGGGGGACCUUUUGGAAAUCGUUAUAGGAAGUCUAACCUGCUAUUAACGUCUUAGAUUAUUAAUUGAUAAAAAACAACUUUUAACAAUGGAUAUCUAGGUUCUU
rnacentral:misc_RNA from 1 species